GACACUCGAACAACACUGAAGACUUGAGGGACGGCUGGAGAGACAGAUCACGGCACAUCAAGAGCGUAUAGUCCAUGGCGCAGGCGUCCUCUAAGAAGUACGUCCUGCGUAGCCCAGUCCUUCAUAAAAAGAUGAAACCGGUGAAACUCACAAAACAUGUUAUUGUCAUAAGUAAGUUUAGGAACGGAUAGCAAGUUACGGGCAAUAGUGGGUACUCAAAGAACAUUCUUAAGACGCAACUGCCUAGAUGUAUGUGUGAGGAGAGAUGCCUAGCCAAUAUGAGAGAUGUGCAUACCUGCCCCAUUGGCUGUGUGAAACUUGUCAGGACCAUGGUAGGCCUCACGGAUAGCAAGCUUGUCCAAUUCAUUUGUCACGUGCUCGGUGGCGCCAGUGUCCAUGUACCAGGUGGGAUCAACAUUAUAAGACUGAGUCUUCCCUUGAUGCUGUGUCAUGUUGACUUGACGCUCAUUGCCCUUGCCAUUGUUGCCAAGACCAAGAAAAUCAGGCUGGAAACGACGAUGACAGUGAGAUGCAACGUGGCGAGGAAUUCCACACAGCUGACAAGGGGCAGCAGCUCCACAAGCGGCACAACAAGCACAUGGGCGCCCGUUCUCGAUGACGAUGGUGGGACGCGACUGGGUAGGUGCCGCAGGAGAGGCGGCACCCUUGCCUCCUGCGGGAGGGGUCGAAGCAGCCGUAGGAGCAGCAGGACGGGCACCGGGACGGGCACCCCCCUUCCCACCGUGGACAACAGCAUUGACCGAGGGGGUCUCAUCCGGAUGACGACUGGCGAGGUGCUGCUCCGUUGAGAGAAGGCGCUAAAAGAGCUCCCGCGGCUUGAUGGGAACCUUGCGUUCCUGGAUCACCUCCACAAGAGAAUCAUACUCGGCAUCGAGACCUUGGAGAACAUAUGUAGUAAACUCCGUGUCACGAAGGGGCUCGCCAAUAGAGGCAAGCUGAUCAACGAGGAGCUUGAUUUUGUUGAAGAAAACAGUGACGGAGUGAUGAUCCUUGCGGGUCUCAUUGAGCUGGGUACGAAGAGCCAUAUGCUGAGACAAGAACUGGGCCGAGACGCUAGACUCCAGCGCACUCCACACCUCAUGGGAUGUAGUAGCAAAAAGUACCAAGCCGGCAACGCCCUCGGUGAGAGAGGACUGAAUCGCCGAGAGAAUCACUUGAUCUUGAGCAAUCCACGAUCGAUACAUAUGAUGAUCCGGCGAAGGGCAUGGCAAAGUUCCAUCCACAAAACCCUCUAGAUAAUGACUACGAAGGAGGAGGAGAAUCUGCACAUGCCAGAACAAAUAGUUGUCCAUCUUCAGUUUUACAGGGAGAAGGUUGCUAAAGUAGAACGGCGGAGUCGUGAUGACGUCAAGUGCAAAGUCAUAGGGUGGCACAGCAGCAGCACCAGAAGAGGCGACAUCCACCACGGGCGAAGAAUGCGGUGCAGCCGGAGGAACCAGUGGUGGAGGAGACGGUGACACGCCAUAAGGAGCGGGCCUCGGGAACGCCGGGUAGCCGGAGCCGUACGGAGCACCAUAGCCAGCACCAGGAGGGGCGCCAUGUCCAACGCCAUAGUGAACGCCGUAGGGAGCGCCGUAGGGCAUGCCUUAAGGGGCGCCGUAGGGAGCACCGGAGAACGGACCGUAGGCAGCAAGAUCAUGCGCGUACGACGGCAGUGCGUAGGGCGCCAGCGUGCCCUAGUUGGGGCGCAACGCCGGCGAUCCGGGAGGAGCCGAAGAGGUCAACCUGGAAAACAGGGCCCCCAUCGAUCUGGUCAUCAGAGGGGUAGAUGCAGGUCCUCCUUGGAGGAGAGUAGAUAGGAACGGCGACACAUGAGCCGUCGGACCGAGGACAGGCGCGCCCGAUCCGAUGGGAUCGGCGAGCGAGAGCGGGGCGGAGAACUCGGUGGCGGCAGCAGGCAUAGUGGCCGCGCCGGUGAGAGCAGCAAGGGUGGCCUUGCCGGAGAGGGCAGUGGCGGCGGCCGCCGAGGAAUCAGCAGCGGAAGAAGACAUGGGUCGGUGUGGCGGCUAGGUCAGGAUCGCGAGAACGAUCGCGUCUGAUACCAUGUUACACAAAGGGUUUUGGGUAUUGUGGGCUUCAACACGUCUAGGGGUCGGCCACUACAAUAUAUAUAGAGGGAAAACCUCGUUGAGUACAAGUACAAUUGUAUACAAGUUACAAUACGUAACAGCAUGCAACCACAUCGUUGAUGGGAUGGAUAGAAGAGUCCACGGCAACAAUGUCGGCCUAUGAAAAGAAGGCCUGGAGUUCACUGAUUCAGUUAGUAUGGUGGGUUACAUGGAAGGAGCGCAAUGCUCGGAUCUUCCAGAACAACUAUGCAUCAAGGGAGGUGACCGGUCGGGCGGUUGAUCGAAGAUGUCGGAAUAUGGAUAGUGGCAGGCAAGCGAUUAGUUAACACCCUUAUGCAUAGACCCAGGGAACAGACUAAAACGCCCUGACAAGGCAUGGGUCUGGUGUCUCGGUCACCCCUGGUGGCCCUGUGAGUUGUAACAUUGUAAGCUUAAAUAACCUAGACAUGAUGAUAUAUUUAUGCCAUCUGAACAUAUUACCUGGUACAGAACCAUAAAACAUGCUUUCUAUAACAAGUGGAUGCUUCAUUAAAUAUGCAGCUUGUCUCUAAAACGUCUUGUAUUUAUAAACAGAGGGAGUAUUAACUAAUCAAAGCAAACACUUUAGAUCCAAUAAUGAAAGAGUUCCUAAUUGGACUCGAGAGGUGUAACGUUUAGAUUACACGAGGACCGAUAUUUUCAGCAAGCUCUGUCAACAAAAUUCUAUCUUACCUUUUAUGUAGUAGCUUGCUAUGAUUAGAACCAGUUGGACCAUCGCAAGGCUCUGCAAUCCAUCGCACUACUAGUGUCGUGGAUGAUCUGGAAACACAGGAACGCGUGUGUGUUCGACAUGUAAACCCCUUGCUCGAUGAGCUCCUAUACAAGAUCAGAGAUGAGGCCAGAUGUUGGGCAAAGGCUAGGGCUCAAGGGCUCAGGGUCGUUUUGCCACCAUCCUGGGAUGUCCAUUGAUCUCUGUUGGCCCUGUAACCUUGCCACCUAGGAGGAUGUAACUGUACUCUACCUUUCCAAUGCAAUGAAGCGCAAAGGUCCUUUGCGUUUUCUCGGAAAAAAAAUCUCUGGGCCAGAAGUUCAAAGAAAUAUUAAAUUCCUUAAUGGCACGGACACACUGCACAUAACCUUCAUAACAGAUGGAGUAUUAACUGAUCGAAGCACUGUAACAAUACCAAGUGGUCAUCAACUUAAGGUUGUAUUUACUGAGCAUUAUAUGCUUUCGUAUUAGGAAUGCUUUCGAUGAACAACAUGAAGGGGAGGCACCUCGCUACUGGUUGUACCGAGCUUUUGACAAAUAGGGCGACAGGGAGGCAUGGUGCUACUGAUAGGAUAUAAACAAUGGGAGGUCCAUUGGCAAGAAUCGCGUAGCACAUUGUAGAAGAAAAAUAACCAAAGGAGACUAACUAAAGAAACCUUGACAAUGAAAAAAUAACUGCUACAACAAAAGAAACAUUUCUAAUCAUUCGAAGUGUGGGCCUGUUUAUAUGAGCAAGAAAGAUCAGCAAAGGAAACAGCAGGUCAAGAAACAAAACCAAAAAAACUAUAGGCCUAGUUAGACCUCAAGUAUAGAAUGAAAAUCCAUUCUUCCAAGAACAAGAGGCUAAUAUACUUUAAGAAAAAUGAUAGUGAAACCAUGCAUUCGCAAAGAAAUGGUAUGAUAGCAACUCUAUACAACCUGAUUAACUAUUUCCCUCCUCUCAAGCUACAAUUCUUAACAUGGCACAAUGGAGGAACGCGACACAUUCAGGCAUCCAAUAGCUCCAAAGUGCGCGCAAAAUUAUAAUUAUAGACUGGAGGCUACCGAUUGUCAAAUUCUUUAUUAUUUUUCCAUGGCCUGUGAAAAUCUAUUGUAGUGUAGUGUCACAUUGUUGGUACAUAAAAGGAUGCUGCAAUAAUGAGAAGAGAAAUAUAUUUUAGUACUGCUAGAUGGAUAAAUCUUGAUUUGAAAUGUUAGUAGCGAAUUCGUUCUUUUGCUCAUGAUGUGAUUUCUUUUGCUAGGACGAAUUAAGCCUGGGUAGAAUAGCAGAUGUGUGCAGGUUUGCCUAUAAUAAAUUAGUCCUGAACCAGCAGUCCAGGGUGCGGAAUAAGUUAAUCUUCACCCGAGGUAAUCUUACGAUCAUUUCAUAAUUAAAUUACAUUUGGAAUUCAAAUAGUUACAUUCCUAUUGAUUCGCUAGGUAAAAUUUGACAUAAGAAAAUAAAAAUAUAGGUCAUAAGACAAGAAUUUUUGCAGUUUAUGUGUAUUUUAGACUAUAUUUUUACGUUUGUAAUUUUACAUAACAUAAAAUAUUUUUUAGGCGUUUAUAUAUUUUUUUACGGUCCCUUUUUGCGUCAGAAAUAAGAUAAAACUUACGGAACAUAAAAUUACGGUGCAUUGAUGGUAAAAUAGAGGGGGGUGAAGAAUAACUAUUCCUCACCCAGGGGGACGAAUAGCGCAACCCUAUAUAUAGCACUAGAAAUAAUGUAUGAAACUGAUAUUCCUUUCAAAAGUUUUUUGUGCGUUGUGUCUCUUCUUCUACUUGAUUUUCUAUAUUUUUGUACCGAAAAUUUCUCUUCUAUUUGAUUAGGCUCAGUUAGUGACUUGUCUCAGGCAUUUUCAACAAGCAGGAGCACUUGUGAGCGUCUACAAUGAGGAGGUGACCAGUACACGAGCAAGUGUAUACCAUAGCAGGAGGUGUAGACAGAUGAACACAAUAUUCAGAUCGACCUGACCAUAACAAACUUUUGGCCACCAAUAUUUCGCAUCAAACAUCAGCAAAUUCUACAAAUACACAUAUCAGAAAGUUCUUUUAUUCAGUUACAUAACCUAGAAAGGUUAAACCAAGUCAUAGAAGCUCACUUUACAUAAUGAAUAGCAUCCACCGUGUAGUUAUCAAGGGUAUUGUUCUGACUGAGAAUCAGAAAAUCAAGAAUGAUAAGCAUAAUCAACUUUGUAGAUAAGCACCAAUAAUUCCAAGGAACCCAAAACUUCCAAUACCUGAACAAUCCAAACAGCAGCAAAAUAGCAAAUGACCAUUAGUUCAACAAAUGUCAAGUACUGAAAGGCCUAAUUUUGUUGAAAUUUCUGCCAUGGUUAAAUAAAACUUCUAAUUAGAAUAUUUAGAAAAAGUUGGAAUUGUCCAGGAACAGUAAAGUAUGUAUGACACCUAAUAAAUGUAAGGUUUCAGCAGAUAUGUUUUUUUAAUAACAAUUCAGGGUUAUGAUUCAUCAAAUGGAAGGGAGACACAACAAGUUGUAAAACAGUAUCCUAAUUUGGGAACUUGAAUCUGGAACAGGCGAAACCAAGGAAGGAAUCGUCCUACCAGAGAUUCAUCAUGGACUGCCUCUUGCUGCCACCGCUGGAUCAUUUGACCCGAUACCGUCUCCUACUUUCUUCAUCCUAGCAUCCUAGCUACUCCCGAUGUGGGGCGGAGAGCCGGGGAAGGAGGAGGGAGGUGGAAGAGAGAGGAGGAGACGGCGGAGGGGAUUUUUUCACGGCUGUGGAGACGAAGGAGGAGGGAGAUGGGAUGAGACUCGCACGACCCCUCUCUCCGUGUCAGAAGAAACACAACCUUCACAGUCUCACUCCAAUCUAAACAAGGGACAGACGUGUAGGACCAGCAGAAAACAAGCCCCACCUACCAUAGGUUAUGCAGCAGGAGCGAACGUCCACACCAGCCGCAGGACGCAUGUCCCACGCACGGCGCGUGCGGCGCGGCUGGGCAAACCCUCGCACGAUCGACGCAGUGUCAGUGCAGCCCCUCUCUCACGCAGACAAAAGGUAGUCAACCCACAGAUGUGUGGGGCCAGAAAUGAGUAAGG
rnacentral:lncRNA from 1 species